rnacentral:rRNA from 1 species
GAUCCUGGCUCAGGAUGAACGCUGGCGGCGUGCCUAACACAUGCAAGUCGAGCGAUUCUCUUCGGAGAAGAGCGGCGGACGGGUGAGUAACGCGUGGGUAACCUACCCUGUACACACGGAUAACAUACCGAAAGGUAUGCUAAUACGGGAUAACAUAAGAAAUUCGCAUGUUUUUCUUAUCAAAGCUCCGGCGGUACAGGAUGGACCCGCGUCUGAUUAGCUAGUUGGUGAGGUAACGGCUCACCAAGG